UACGGAGGAUGCGAGCGUUAUCCGGAUUUAUUGGGUUUAAAGGGUGCGUAGGCGGGAUGCCAAGUCAGCGGUAAAAAUGCGGUGCUCAACGCCGUCGAGCCGUUGAAACUGGCGUUCUUGAAUGGGCGAGAAGUAUGCGGAAUGCGUGGUGUAGCGGUGAAAUGCAUAGAUAUCACGCAGAACCCCGAUUGCGAAGGCAGCCUUCCGGCGCCCUACUGACGCUGAGGCACGAAAGUGCGGGGAUCGAACAGG
rnacentral:rRNA from 1 species